rnacentral:rRNA from 1 species
GACGAACGCUGGCGGCGUGCUUAACACAUGCAAGUCGAACGGAAAGGCCCUGCUUUUGUGGGGUGCUCGAGUGGCGAACGGGUGAGUAACACGUGAGUAACCUGCCCUUGACUUUGGGAUAACUUCAGGAAACUGGGGCUAAUACCGGAUAGGAGCUCCUGCUGCAUGGUGGGGGUUGGAAAGUUUCGGCGGUUGGGGAUGGACUCGCGGCUUAUCAGCUUGUUGGUGGGGUAGUGGCUUACCAAGGCUUUGACGGGUAGCCGGCCUGAGAGGGUGACCGGCCACAUGGGGACUGAGAGACGGCCCAGACGCCUACGGGAGGCAGCAGUGGGGAAUAUUGCACAAUGGGCGGAAGCCUGAGGCAGCAACGCCGCGUGCGGGAUGACGGCCUUCGGGUUGUAAACCGCUUUCGCCUGUGACGAAGCGGGAGUGACGGUAAUGGGUAAAGAAGCACCGGCUAACUACGUG